UACAUGGGGUGCAAACGUUGCUCGGAAUUAUUGGGCGUAAAGCGCGUGUAGGCGGUUUCUUAAGUCUGAUGUGAAAGCCCUGGGCUCAACCCAGGAAGUGCAUUGGAUACUGGGAGACUUGAAUACGGGAGAGGGUAGUGGAAUUCCUAGUGUAGGAGUGAAAUCCGUAGAUAUUAGGAGGAACACCGGUGGCGAAGGCGGCUCACUGGCCCGGUACUGACGCUGAGGUGCGAAAGCGUGGGGAGCAAACAGG
rnacentral:rRNA from 1 species